UACGUAGGGGGCAAGCGUUGUCCGGAUUUAUUGGGCGUAAAGAGCUCGUAGGCGGCUCGGUAAGUCGGAUGUGAAACCUCCAGGCUCAACCUGGAGACGCUAUCUGAUACUGCCGUGGCUUGAGUCCGGUAGAGGAGCAGGGAAUUCCUGGAGUAGCGGUGAAAUGCGCAGAUAUCAGGAGGAACACCAGCGGCGAAGGCGCUGCUCUGGGCCGGUACUGACGCUGAGGAGCGAAAGCGUGGGGAGCGAACAGG
rnacentral:rRNA from 1 species